UUAAAAUGUCAAAGACAAGGAUUUCAAAAUAAUUGGAAGAAAAUUGGAUCAGGAUACCUAGGAAUAGCCUGACAUUCAAAUUAAAAAAUUGAUUUUUGGGUACAAGACAUUGAAGACAUAAUCAAUUUGAGCUCCAAAGAAGGCGUAAUAAAGGUUCGAGCUAACAAGAUGAGGAAAGCAAGGGAGCAUCCGAGCAUCCCGCAGGAUAAUUGCGAUGAGCCGCGCAAGGAGUAUCGAUAACAAAGGCCGGAAGCCGAAAAACUCCGUGUGUGCAGCCAGCCAGUCAUCCGAUAUGCAAAGAUGAAGGCAUGGCCAAGAAGGAAAAGUCAUAAAGCAAUAAAGGAUAUCAUGAGCCUUAAUGAGGCUCCCUUUUGGGAUGGGAUACCGGGCACAAAGAGGAUAUCUAUAUCACUCAGCCCCAAACAAUUAACGAAAGCUGCGACCCAGCGGCGAGUCAGGCACUAUAAAAUGAAGCCAAUUUGCGUAGCUCAACAAACAGAAAACGCCAAUAAACAAAGGCUGGCGCGGUGGGCAGGGAAAACAACCGCGAACGGGAGCCGAGGCGGGAGCGAAGUGGCAGUGGAAAUGGAAAUGGAAAUGCACACAACUUGAAUAAUUACUUUGAUUUUAAUGCCGGCACCAGAUCCAGGCCAGUGGUAAAGCAGACACAAACGCACGUACAAUUAAAAUUAAUUUCGGUGGCCAUGGCAAGUGCGUAAAUUGUAAAAACCACUAUCACAUUAUUUUUUCUGGUUUUCCCUUUUUCGCUUUUCCCGACGCGUUCCACUCGUUUCGAAAAGGCGCACCCGAAAUGGUCAUCGGGCAGCUCGGAAAAUCAGGCAACAAAACCCCAAAACGUAAAACGAAAAUUAAGCCAAUAACGGGGCAAUCGGGCCGGCAUCGCAUCGUGGCGAUUCAGGAAUCAGGCUUUGGCCAAAGGACUCCUGGAAGGGAAUGAACCGUGUGCGAGUAUGUGGCGACGAGGAGAGGAGGGGAGCAGACGGGACAGAAAGCAGCCCAUUGGGCGCAUGAUCAAUGGAGCUGCGCGAUUUCGAAGAUGCACGGUUAUCUAGGGAUACCAUAUUAAGGAUCUCAAAGUUGUCUACCUCCAGGCUAACUUUACCGUAAAGGUUAUAGCUAAAUAAAUUGGCUUUGAAGAUUUCCAGAACCCCCUCGCUCUUGGACCCCCUAUCCCAUAC